GAGACAUAGCUCAGCUGGUAAAGUGCUUGCCUGGCCAGCACAGGGACCUGAGUUUGAUCCUCAGAUGCCACA
rnacentral:tRNA from 1 species